CACAAACGCCGGAGCAUCCGGAUUAAUUCGAUGCAAACCGAAGAACCGUACCCAAGGCCUUGACAUGGGCCCGGAUCGGGCCUGGAAACAGUCCUUCCCCUUUGGGGCCGGCUCACAGGUGGUGCAUGGUUGUCGUCAGCUCGUGUCGUGAGAUGCUGGCUAAGUCCCGCAACGAGCGCAACCCUCGUUCCAUGUUGCCAGCACGUAGUGGUGGGGACUCAUGGGAGACUGCCCGGGGUCAACUCGGAGGAAGGUGAGGACGACGUCAAAUCAUCAUGCCCCGUAUGUCUUGGGCUUCACGCAUGCUACAAUGGCCGGUACAAUGGGUUGCGAUACUGUGAGGUGGAGCUAAUCCCAAAAAGCCGGUCUCAGUUCGGAUUGGGGUCUGCAACUCGACACCCAGAAGUCGGCCUCGCUAGUAAUCGCAGAUCAGCAACGCUGCGGUGAAUACGUUCCCGGGCCUUGUACACACCGCCCGUCAAGUCACGAAAGUUGGUAACACCCGAAGCCGGUGGCCCAACCCUUUUUGGGAGGGAGCCGUCGAAGGUGGGACCGCGCCCUCGGGAUACCUCGAACAAGGUACCGUACCGGAAGGUGCGGAUGGAUCACCUCCUUAAGAGGCGAUUCGCGCCGCUAAAUUCAUUCCCUUAAAUGAGUGAUA
rnacentral:rRNA from 1 species